rnacentral:hammerhead_ribozyme from 1 species
AUCCAGCAGGAAAGUCCCGAAUAGGACGAAACGCACGUCCUGCAU